AGCUCUCGGGAGAAGUGAUUUUGCAAAUUGCCAACGAACCUGUUCUGCCCUUUAAUGCAAUUGAUAUAGCUUUAGAAGUUCAAAACAACCUUAAAGGUGAUCAACCCAACACUCAUCAACUGUUAGCCAUGGCGUCACGCCUGCGGGAGAGUGCUGAACUUUUUCAGUCUGAUGAGAUGCGACCUGCUAAUGAUCCCAAGGAGAGAGCAUCCAACCGCAUCCGGAUGCUGAAUGACAUUCUCCAAGACAUGGAGAAAAGCUUUCUGGUGAAGCAGGCGCCGCCAGGUUUUUAUAGAAACAUCCUGUACCACCUUGAUGAAAAGACAAGCCGAUUUUCAAUACUUGUGGAGGCUUGGGAACACUGCAAACCCCUUGCAUCAAAUGAGACCCUUCAGGAAGCCCUGUCAGAGGUGUUGAACAGCAUUAAUUCAGCUCAGGUUUACUUCAAAGCAGGACUUGAUGUGUUCAGGAGUGUCUUGGAUGGGAAGAAUUGAGAAAACCCUGAGCAUUUUUUAAAGUUUGCUUACAAUUCCACAAGCAAAAGCUCUAAUUUAACCAGAUUUUCUGACACUGAAGGCUUAUUUUCCCCCAUGACUUUUUGACAAGUAUAAAGCUGUUAUUACAUUGUAUUUUUUAAAUGUAAAUAUAAAAAGAACAUUUUGCACAUUUAAUAUUUUUUGUAUCUACAUUUCUGACUAUGUAAAGCAAGUUAUUGAAAUAGGACUUAAGAAUUACCUAUUAAAAAGAAAUCUGAUAUUUUAUAUAUGUGUGUGUAUAUAUAUAUACACACACACACAUACACACACACUAUUUUGAGGAGAAAGUUUCAAGAAGUUCCGGAGUAUCUUUGUUCCUAUGGGCAGAGCAUAUAGGAACACAGUUUAUUCUCUCUGAUAGAGCUAUUAAUGAUCUAGUUUCUGUAAAAGAAAUGAAGAGUUGAUAUGGUUCCGAUUAACUUCACUAUUAAGUGUUCAGUAUGAAGAAUUCAAGUAUUGUGACUGAGUGAUUGGUUGACCUAAACCACUUUGAAUGUUUCUAUUUUAUGAAAUGAAGUUUCUCUUCUUAACACAACUAGAUGUAGUAAUACACUGGUUAUGAAAUUGUAUUUUUUUAAGUAUUAAUGAAAAAAGAGCCAUAAGCAUUCCAGGGAAAAAUCUCAAGGUAGCUACACAGAGCAAUUUAAAUGCAAAUUUUUUUCGUAACAACUUACAAGGUGACUAGCUUUGAAACCCCUAAUUUGCCUCAGUUGAUUUUCUAAGAAUUUCAGGAGUGAUGUAUGUCUUAAGAGGGAGAAAAAAUAUAUCUUAUUACUUUUUCUCUUGUUUCUUUUGGAAACACUGAAACAGGGACUACUCUAAAAUGAAAGCAGCUCACAUUGGUUUUCUUUCUUGUAUCUUUUCUGAAACUCCUUGCUGUAAGGCAGCUUUCACAGAGUACCAUAUAUUUUCCACAGUAAAGUAGCAAAGUUUCUCUUUGAAACCCAAAAUAUCUUCUAAAGCAUCAAAUUUCUAUUUCUGCCUCUGACAAAAAGAACUUCCUAUGAAAGAAAUAGUUGUUUUUAUCAAUAAAAGCUCCUUAAUACUAUGAAGAAACUUUUAGUAUUUUUUCUUCUUUAUCCUUAAUUGUGACUAAGAUGGAAAUCUAGAAAAUAUUCAUGCUUCUAAGUUUCUACAGGGUUACUGUAAGAGAGUGUUUCAUCUACACUUCAAUUCUUCUCUCAUGUGGAAAACUAAGUUUUUUAUAUUGACAUUGUCGUUGAAUAGCUCUAGCAAUUAUUAUUAUUCUCCCAAACACUAAAAUUCUACCUAUUAAGUGUCAGCUUAAAGUUCUAGUUUAUCUUUAGAAGUUUAUUUGAAAAAUGGUUUUCGUAUACUGGAUAAAGCAAUUCCCCUUAGGAAACAUAGCCUCAGAGUAUUUCAUAUAAAUUUUCUCUACCUAAUUCAAACAUACUUCUCCAUCAUACACCGUCAGAGCAACAUUGCAAAUAGUCUGUGUAUAUUUAAAUUUUCACUUUUAAUGGAUGAGCAUAAACCUAGUCUUAGUUUAAAGGCAAACUAAAGUUGAGGGAAGAUAAUUAAUCAAUAUUCAUUAAUUGAUUUAUAAGGUUCAACACUUUCUACCCUAAAUUAUUUUUAUACGCUCAAGGCAAAGCACGGAAUUGAGGCAAUUAGCUAGAUAAUUCAAGCAGAAACCCAUUUUCAUGGAAAUUGCCUGUGUACACAUAUUUUUAGAUGAAAAAUGAAACUACCUUGCAAUAUUAUUUUUUACCAAUUUAUUUGUUUGAAAACAUUUGCCAUGUUGAAGAAUGUGUAUAGGAAAGGGCUAGAAAUAAACAGGAUUGUUUAUUUAAUACAGAGACAUUCAUGAUCUUUCUUCCUCUUCAGAGAUCAUCAGAAAAGAGGUGGGAAUAUACAUGCAGGUGCAUGUGAGCCCAAAUGCCAAAAAGUCUUAUACCAGAAGAACUUAAAUAUUUAACCACAGGUUGAUGUGUUCAUUCCUGUUAUUCAUUUACAGAUGAAAUUAAAACAAAGAAAGGCAAACUAUUGUCAGUUUGGUAGUUCACUACUUUAGAGCAAAUUUCUAAAUGAAUUUAUUCCCAUAACCUGCAAUAGCACUGAGAGCAGAAAAUAUGUUUCUUCUUCAUCUUUGUUUAAAGAUUGCGUACCUAGGUAAGUCACAUUGUAUAGAUAAAAACCUUCUUCUGUAUUCCUCAUCUCUAAAUUAAAUGUUAUUUGCUAUUUGAAAACUGAAGUUAACUAUGGUUUUUAUUAGUCUAUUAAGAGAUAAGUGGAGAAAUUUAAUUAUAACUAAAGCAGAUGUCCAAAAUUCUAUACAUGCUGCUUUACAUCUUUGCAACAAACCUCUUAACUAGCAGCAUUAUUUCUAUAGUGUGAUUACCUGAGGGUGCCUCCAAAUGUAUAUCAUUUCACUCCCCUCCCCACUCCACCCCCAACAGAUCCAAAUAAAUAAAAUCCUGGGCAAGUUAAUAGCAAGUGUUAUGUGAAUUGGUAGUAGGUUUAAAUUGUUGCUGAGUUGUCCAUAUGCCUGGUGCUUCUCAGAAUCUUUCAUACAUAGAAUCGUGCCUAGGAAAUAAUGAAUCAUGAAUAUUCUCUGAAGAAAAUGCGGCAAAGGCGUAACAGUGAAAUUUAUGUUCAGGCAGGGUAUGCAUGAAAUACUGCCCUUUAUGGAAAAGCGUAAGUCUCAGAAUCAAAAGAAAGCCUAAGAAGGAUUCUGGUCUAAGCCCUGAGAUCUUGCCUUCAGCCAGAGAAGGCACUAUCAGUUACCCCCACCAGAUGUAAUAACUAAACCCAAAGCGAAUAAGAAACUUGGACAUAGUCGUGUAUUUAGUUAGUAACAAAAGCACCACUGGAAUUUAAGCUUCUCUGCUUUCUCAUGCAGUAUAUCUUGCUUUUCCCUGAGGAGACAGGGUUAUAAAUGAUCUUUUCCAGUGCAUUCUAUGUAACCAGCCAUUCUAUCAGAUGUUGCAUGGGCUGGUUUUAAUUCAAGGCUAGUUCUUUCUCUGACUGUACCUGACAAACCAAACUGUCCCCAGGAAUUCAGGCAAAGGAAACAAAGACUGCGUACUUGAGAGAACGUGAGGAGAGUCCUUACAGAACACCAGAAGUCAGGAAGAAGGACAUUGAGCAAACUAUUUCUGUGAGAGGGCAGUGUUAACUAAACAAUCUAAAUCACCAUUUCUCAAAAUGUGAAAUUUAGAAAGACAGGGCUAGGAAUCUACGUCUUCAGCAGGAUUUCUGGAUGUUUCUUACACACAUUGAUGUUUAAGAAUUUCCAAUCUACAUUAAUCCUAGGUUCCAACGUAGGUUCCAAGAAAAUGCUAGUUGACAUUUCUAGAUAGAUUGAAGAGUCACAGUAACAAGAAAGACAUAAAUCUUUGUUAUUAAUGGAAUCAUUAUGAGAAAAGAAAAGUGGACCCAUUUUAUCCCUAAGAAAACAAUUCAGUUGCAGCUUAUAUUUGCGCUUGCUACAUCCCAGGCACUGGUGUUCUAGAAUUUUCCCAUGUAUUUUUUUUUUAAUUCCCACAACAACACAUUUAAAAAUGAGAAAACUAGGAUGAGUGACUUGUCCACAGUUCCAAAGCUAAUAAAAAUGAUGAGGCAUGUUUCUCUUCUGGGCUCACUGUAUUCAGUUCUUUGUUCAUACACUGAGUGCUGAAAAAAAAAAUCAGACUAUUUUCAUUCUAGAAAGUGAUAUAAUUGAAAAUUUUAACAUAUUUCUCCAAAACUGAUCAGACUCUGCAGUCUGUCAUUUUUUUUGGUAUAAUAAAAGAGUUCGAAGAAACAAAUGACAUUAUUCCUGAUGAUGGUAGCCCCUUCAACAAUGGUGUAUAUAUGUAGGUAAAGUUUGAAGAUAUCUAAAGAACAUGAAAAAGCAAGUGCACCAUUGUGGAAUAUCAUGACAAGUAGGCUUACAAACGGUAAAAAGAGACCAGAAACCACAGGUCUUACACUUUCCUUCUCUAAAUGCUUACAUAAUUUCAAUUAAAAAAAGAAAAGCAGGUACUGUGAUUUAGAACCACAGUUUUAUGUUAUUUUUUAAAAUUCAGAAUAACCAGUUGACUUUUUUUAAUUAAGUAAAUGUAGAGCAUAUAGUAAGUUUCCCCAGAAGAAAGAUAGAUGUUCACAAAAAUAAAAUAAAUGCUUAUUUGUGACCAUCUUACUAAUGAUGAAUCAGCAUCUUUGCCUCAAAUGAAAGUCUAUAAUUAUUUGUACGACAAAUUGGUAGACCUAGCCAAAAAUGUUCUCAUGAGACAUUCUGUGAUAUGUGUAAUUGAUUACUCCAAAAAUAAAGCUUUCUCUGAGGGUAACACAUUGUCAUUUCAUUGGUUUAAUGGGCUAUUUAAAUGUGCCUUAGCCGCACAUUUGCUUAAUAGAAAGGAAUUAUUUUAAACUACCAAUCCAUAUGUUGAGUGGAAAGGAAGUUGGCCCACAUAUUCCAAUAAAUAUAUCAGCAACAUAACAGUUUCAUCACGGGACCAUGGAUACAGUGCAGGGAAAAAACAAACAAACAAUACAAUAUUUGAGAAAAUAAAUAUUCUGCCGAGCUACACUAGUGAGUUUUUAUUUCUUUUAUGAGUUUAAAUUAUCAACUUUAAAAAGCCUCAUUAGAAUUUGCUAUUCAGAAAGACCUUAAAAACCCUCACAGAGUUCUAAGCAUCCCAUUCAUUGAAAAUACUUUUCAGUUAAGUAGAUUUGUUUCGUGCACUUCACAAUUUUAGGUGACAUGAAUUUGAAGCGCAGCAAAAGAAAUGUAUAAAAGAUAGCCUUUUCUGGUCAUUACCAUGUCUACUCAAGUUUCUGUUUUCUAGGUACACUCUAACAUUGUAAUUUUUCCCCCUGAGAAGUAAUUUUAAGAUCUAUCAGUCUCAAUUUAAAUGAUCUGUUAAUCAGCCAGAGUUUUAGUUUCAUAAUAUCGUUCCAUUGUCUGACAAAGAUAUACACACUAAAGUGCCUUUAGCAGGCCUGGGACUGUCAAGAAUCUUGGUACCGUGAUUACUGCAAGAUGACAUAUUUCUUAAGACAUUUAUAAUCUUAUAUUUGGAUUUAAUCUGAAUUUACAAAUAAAAGGGUUAAAUUGAGGCAGUUUCAAGCAGCGUUUAAGAAAAUGAAGUGGCUUCAAAUUUUAAUGUUUCUGGUUAGAUUAUUUUGUUUAAAUUAUACAAUUAUAUAAUUUUCUGUAACCGAAAUGGUAAUUUUGAUGAAUUUUUUAAUGCCAAAAUCCAAUCAUCAAGGCCAAAGAAAUGCACGAUUACUCUGCUGUCUUAUGCACGAUUCAGUCAAGAAUUAACUCAGAGGCAUUUGAUUCAGGGCUUACAUCUAGACAAAGUUUUAAUGAGUGCAGACACAGCCUAACAGUAUUUCAUUUAAUUUCUUUGAGGGCUUAAGCCAAUAAACACUGCGGUAGCUUUUCUCAGAAGGAAACAGAUUUUAUUUUCCAGGUGCUAAUUAAUAUGUACCACCUAAGUCCCCAAAGGAUCACACAGGUGCCUGUAUCCUGCCAUAUGUCAUGUGCUAUAUUCCUGCAAGCUCAAGAGAAUAAUAUACCAUCAUUAUUAUGAAUUAUUAUGUUGCAUUGAAGCUAACGUCAGUCUUUUUUUCUAAUUAAAGUACAAACUUGGCAUGUGAAUAGAAGCUUAGCUAGAGAAGUGGAGUUAGAGUCCCUAUUUUAAUGAACUACAUAUAUUUUUCAAUCAAAAUGUUUAAUUAUUUAAUUAUCUAGCCUGCUUGGUAAUCAUAACUCUCCAACUUCUUCAAAAGACCUUUAUUCAAUAUGUUACCACUCAUAUGGUCAUUACUUGGUGUGUGUUUUAUAUUUUGAAUUUCUUAGAUGCUUUCAGUGUAUGUGCUGGUGUUUUAUUAAUACUAAAAAUUUUUGUUUACUUCUAUAUCAAACUGCCGCAAAAGGAAUAUCUUAUUUUGAAAGUUAGAAUAAAAUGCUAUUGCUCUCUAAGCAGAACUUUAGCAUAUCUGUUUGAGAAGAAACACAAACAAAAUAUUUUUCUACGCUAUUACAAAUGGUCCGCAAGAAACAAAAUGCCAGAUGGUUAAGUGUAGCUCACAUAAUUAUAUUCCAAAGAUGUUAUAAAUAAUUCUAUUUAGCAUCUGAGAUAGGUCUCUAUUAGGCAAUUUCAUGUUUACAUUUCUAACAGAAAGGUUUAAUGGUAAAUACAUGCCUUAUAUUCUAACUUGCUACUUGGAGAAUAUGGAUAUUCUGAAAAGAAAAACUCUUUCUAGAACACUUUGCAGGGCUAAUUUUUUUUUAUAGACAUCUAGAAAAUAGCCUGGCAACAAAGUGAAACCCUGUCUCUCUCUCUAAAAAAAAAGUUACUAGGGAGGCUGAGGCGGAAGAAUCAUUUGGGCCCGAGAGUUUGAAGCUGCAGUGAGCUAAAAUCAUGCCACUGUAGUCCAACCUGUGUAACAGACAGAACCUAUCUCAAAAAAAAAAAAAAAAAAAAAGAAAGGAAAAGAAAAGAAAGUCACAUGCUGUUGAUAAUAGUUUUAUAUGUGUUUGGAAUAUUAAUAUGGGAUACAUACAUUUAAAUGCAUUUAAUACUUUAAUCAUAUAUGCAAUGUAGCAACAUUUAGAUAUGUAAGAUUUUAGAAGUAAAAUCUCAGUGGUAUAACAUUUAAAACACAGCCUUAAAAUGAAGAAUAGGGAAGAGCAGGAGAAAAUUUAUAAAUUAACCUAAGGUAAAAUUUGGAGGAAAAUUUUUCCAAAUAAAUUUGCUUUGGUUAAAAACAAAUAUCUCUCAAGAAUUGCCCCAAUUACUAAAUUAUGUUGAACUGUUUUGGUGUUUAGCCUUGUUCAAAAUAGUUUGAUUAUCAUCUGUGAUUCAGAAAUAUUUUCAUUGUACAGAGAUUUCAUUGUCAUUGUAGUUGUUGUAACUGAUUUUUAAUGAUAUUGAUUUAAAGGCAUUUGUCUGUAGUUUUAAAAUUACUAUAUAGGGUUGAAUGUCUAAUUUCUAUAAUGUGUGGAUGCCCAUCAGAUAUUUACUACAUUCUAUAUUUAGCCAAGUGUGAUCACAAUUUAUUUUAUAACUUUUUAUGUGUUACAUAACUCAAUGUGCAUCUUACUUAAGAAAUUAUGUUGUAAUUUGGAGUGACACAAAUAGGUUGAGAUAUCACACCCAUUAAAAAUAUAACUGAAUAUUUUAUAUUUAAGUUGUUUAAAUAUUUGCACAUUAUUGAAAACAUAGUACUAUGAAAUGAAGGCACCAUUUAAAAAACGUGUUCUGAGUCACAAAUUUCAUGAAUGUGUACAGUGAAAUGUUAGUGUUUAAAGCACCCAUUUUGAAAUUAUUAAAUACAGGUAAAAACA